rnacentral:rRNA from 1 species
AAUGAACGCUGGCGGCAGGCUUAACACAUGCAAGUCGAACGCCCCGCAAGGGGAGUGGCGCACGGGUGAGUAACGCGUGGGAAUAUGCCCUUCGGUUCGGAAUAACACAGGGAAACUUGUGCUAAUACCGGAUACGAUCUACGGAUGAAAGAUUCAUCGCCGAAGGAGUAGCCCGCGUAGGAUUAGCUAGUUGGUGAGGUAAUGGCUCACCAAGGCGACGCUCCUUAGCUGGUCUGAGAGGAUUAUCCGCCACACUGGGACUGAGACACGGCCCAGACUCCUGCGGGAGGCAGCAGUGGGGAAUAUUGGACAAUGGGCGAAAGCCUAAUCCAGCCAUGCCGCGUGAGUGAUGAAGGCCUUAGUGUUGUAAAGCUCUUUCACCGAUGAAGAUAAUGACGGUAGUCGGAGAAGAAGCCCCGGCUAACUUCGUGCCAGCCGCCGCCGUAAAAC